UCUGCAAACAUGACUGACAGAAUCUAAGUCUCAGGGAAUUUGCUCCGUGGAAACGAAUUCAUCAGUAAAACUCAAAUUCCAGGAUGGCAAACGAGCCCUAAAAGAACGAGGCCAGGCCUGACCCAGAGGCCUCCAUCCAAAACGGCCCAGAAGCAACCCUAGCUACAAUCAUAACGACGAGGUCUGGGUAGGGUUUUGCAGUCGUCAGGAUUUUUAUUUUUAUUUUUAUUUUUUU